rnacentral:rRNA from 1 species
AAGUCCCGCAACGAGCGCAACCUUGUCAUUAGUUGCCAUCAUUUAGUUUGGGCACUCUAAUGAGACUGCCGGUGACAAACCGGAGGAAGGUGGGGAUGACGUCAAGUCCUCAUGGCCCUUAUGGGUAGGGCUUCACACGUCAUACAAUGGUCGGUACAGAGGGUUGCCAAGCCGCGAGGUGGAGCCAAUCCCUUAAAGCCGAUCGUAGUCCGGAUCGUAGUCUGCAACUCGACUACGUGAAGUCGGAAUCGCUAGUAAUCGCAGAUCAGCAUGCUGCGGUGAAUACGUUCCCGGGUCUU